CUGGGGUCUGGGAGGCUACGUGGAAGAUGGAACUACUUUUUGUGUCGGAUCGCGGAAGGAUAUUGCACCAUUGAGUGCGUCACAGCGCCCCACUCCUUCCUCCCUCUGCCUCCCCUUCCCCCCCGCGCGCACGGGGUUUCCCGUCCGGUCCCUGCUGCAGCGCGGGGCGGGCGGGGGAAUGGCGGCGCCGGCGCGGCCGGGCUGAGGGCACGGCGAGCGGCCCUGCGGCAGCGCCUGGGGCGGCAUAGCGGCCCCUUUUCGUGACCGCGUGUCCCCCACCGUGUUGGUUGUUCUUAAAGCCCCGGAGUCGGGGGGUGAUACGAGAGAGAAAGAGGCUUCCUCAGGCGGGGGCCGCGCAUCCGCCCCAUCCGCACACAGAAAUGGCUCCCUCCUCCUUCUCCUCAUCCUCCUCCUCCUCCUCCCUGGCAGGCGAAACACACCCCGAGCUGUCCCCCUGCGCUCCCGGAGCCGGGGCAGCGUUGGUCAUGAGGGCUGGGAGCUCACGGAGAGGCCCCGAGGCGGGGGGGGCGAUGGAGGCGCCUCUGAGGGCUCCCCGGCCCCGGCUCGCCCAGCGCGGGCCCGUGGCUGAAUCCCGUCCCGAGGCGCUGAGGGUGGAUCCUUCCCGAAGGGGAUGCAGGGCUGUUUGUAGGAGACACGUUAGGUGGUCCUCGGCGUGCUGCCGAAAGCGCUGCAGAUCGCAGUACAGGAAAAAAAAAACUGUCAAGAAUGAUUUAAAGAAGAAAGGAGAAUGAAGUGAGAACUGUGAAGGACUGCUGCCUCAGAACUGCUGUUGCCAUAGAGCUGCUAACGAGGAAAAAAAACUGCAGCAUGGAUUUCUUGUGCUGCUGAAGAUCGAUGAGAGCAAAUUGUUUGAGGACUUCUGGGUAGUGAUAAAAGGAAAGGGAACCUGCUUUUUAAGAAUCUCAAGCAACUACAGGGAAAGUGUGAAAACAGAUUUGUUUGUGCAGGAGCUGUCUGGGUGUGUCCAUAAUGAAUGGAGAAGGAAUGGUGUCUUCACCUGAAGAUUCAUCACCUAAUCUAGAUUUGAUGACUUGCCACUGGAGGAGGAUAUACUUUACUGUUCAUUUCAGAAGUCCUGGCAGCAAGCAUUUCACAACCCACAGCCUGGAUACAGUAAUUCCUGAAGGAAUGCACAGCAUAAUGAAUACUGCAUGAUCACAAAAUAGUUCACCUCGUGCAAAGCCAUAGCAGAAAACGAUGCAACAUGGCUGUUUCCCAAUCAUCCCUGCUUCACUGGUUUCUUUUAUUUGGAGAAAUUCUUUCAGCUUCUCCUCAUAGAGGCUACCGAGUGAGAGAGGAAGUGUAACCUUUCUCCACCCAGCAACAAAAAUGCAAUGGUUUUGGAGCACUUCCCAUUUCCAUGAUGUCUCUGUGCAACGCAGCACAGAAGCUGAGCUGGCCUGUACCUUCUUCCCCGGCUGCAGGCAGGGCACCUGGGCUAGAGAUGCUGGAUGACCCAAACGUGACAGCACACGGAAAAACAAGCCCUGCCUCGUGGGAGAAGCAGCUUUGCCAGACUGCUGGGUCCAGAGUUAACAGCAGAACUUUUUAAUUUGGGGAUUUUUAGCAGCACUUCCAUGUAUCGAGAUACUAAUUAAUGGCUUAUAUUAAAAGGUCAGGUUGUUGAGUUUCUUAUUUUGUA